GUCUUUUUGUUAAAAAUUUAAAGUCAGGCCUGCCCACUGAAACUUUAAAUGGCCGUGGUAUUUUGACCGUGCUAAGGUAGCAUAAUCAUUAGUUUUUUAAUUGAAAGCUGGAAUGAAAGGUUUGAUAAAAAAAUGACUGUCUCUAUUUAAUUUUAUUAGAAAUUUAUUUUUAAGUUCAAAAGCUUAAUUUUUAUUAAAAGACGAGAAGACCCUAUAGAGUUUAAUAAUUUAAGGUAAUUAAUAUUUUAGAAUUAAUUUAUUUAUUUUUUAGUAUUAUUUAAUUGGGGUGAUUGAAAAAUUUAAUUAACUUUUUUUAUAUUUAACCAUUAAUUUAUGAUAAUUUGAUCCAAUUUUUUUUUGAUUAUAAGAUAAAAUUACCUUAGGGAUAACAGCGUAAUUUUUUUAGAAAGUUCAAAUUAAAAGAAAAGAUUGCGACCUCGAUGUUGGAUUAAAAUUAAAUUUUGGUGUAGAAGCUAAAAAUUUUAAGUCUGUUCGACUUUUAAAAUUUUACA
rnacentral:rRNA from 1 species